UGUACUUAUAAUCAAUUAAAAUCUCUAAUAUCGUAAAAUAAUAGGAGUCAGCAUAUAAUUUUUAAUUUACAAACAAUGGUUUGACCAAUACUUGGUAAUUCUGAGGCAAACUUUAAAAAUGCAGGAUGAACUCUACCAUUUCCAGCAAACUCUUCGGGGGAAAGUUGUAGUUGUGUUCUGUUGGAUAAGUUCAAGUGUCGAUAUAAUGAACCAACCUCAACUCACUUCCCUCUCUGUUCUUGCCAGCAUCCAAGACGUCACAAUUUUGGUCAAGGCCUAAGUACCUCUUGGAAAUGGAAAUAACCUCCAACGGCAACUUGGAGAUGCUAAAGCAGUUUUGAAAUAUCAAUGGCCACAUGAAAAGAAAAUUCAAGUGGUAUGGAACUGAUAAAUUGACAGGUUUCUGCGGCCCUCCCUCUCACGUUCCUCCUGUUCAGGGACGUGGACUGUGGAUGAAGGCAUCAGGGUUGCGGGACCACCCAGCACUCCGUUCCAGGCAAUAAUUAUUAUACACAUUACAAGAUGCACAUACACACACAGGGGUGUAAUAUUCAUUAACUUCAUGCACCUCUCCAAGAGCAGUCAACUUCAAAUUAGUGUGCAUAUUCCCACUUUACCGUUCUGUACUGAAUGGCCUCCACAAUAAACCGUUUGAUUUCUGCUCCACCCAUUCUGAUCAAAAGUACAGUAUCCAAAGAAAUGACUGAAGGGCAGACAUCCAAAUAACUCCAACUCUAUUAGCAUAGUGCAAAUGCUUCCCUCCUUUCUAAUGAAGGACCAAGCCCAGGUUGGGAACUUUUCUCAUGAUGUGUGGCUAGAGAGCCUUGUGGAAUCCCCUUCGCACCCUGCUGUGCAGUUUGAAUAGGACAACGCCUUAAACAAGCAAAAUCUCACAGUGAGGGAGCAUGGGACUAUUUAUAACAAUACCGUGAGAUAUUUGAGAUUGUAAAGAACAGCUCCUUAUGAUGAUUCACCAAUCAACACCUCAGAUCUUCUGUGCUAAAACAAACCAGCACAUUAAGGAAAAUCUAGUAGACAAACAAACCGGUUUAAAUGGAUGAGUUUCUGCUAAAUACAGUGUAGCUUUAGGAGUUAACUCUAUACAUGCUGCAAGGUGUAAAAGUUUACUAAACAGAGUCAUACGGUGAAAGGAAAAGAAUGAGUAACAUUUAAAUGAAUUUAUCACAUAUACUAUCAUUUCUGCUCUCUUGGUUAACUAGAAGGGGAAAAUAAAUACUUCAAACAAUAACCGCUGUCGGACAAUCUUGACUCAGACUUCAAAUUGUGUAUAGUCAUUAGAACUGGAACAGAGGUUUGACUCAAGCUGUUUGCAUCUUCAAAUAACAGUAAGUUAAAGGAAGCAGUGAAAACAUAUGAUUGUGAAGUAAUACAUGGGGAAUAGAAUGUAAUAAGUCCAGGGCUGGUACAUCAUUUUGCCCCAAGUCUAUCCGGCUGUUCAAUAACAUAAUGACAAAUCUACUUCAACACCACGUUUUGCCCAAACCUCUUUCCCUUCAAUAUCCAGAAAUCUAUUGAGCCCUGUUUCAAUUUAAAAUGACCAACUCAUUCUCCACAGAAUCUCAGGGAAAAGAAUUCCAAAGAUUCACCACCAUUACUGAAAAAAGUCUCAUCAUUUGUGUCCUGAAUGGUCCACCCUUUAUUUUGAGAUUGUGAUAUUGAAUUUUAGGCUCCUUCAUCGAGGGACAGAAACAUCCUCCCUGCAGCCUCUCAAGACCUGCAAGACCUUUGUUUUCAUCCAGGUCACCUCUCAUUUUGUUAAACUCUAAGCAAUAAUGGCUAACCUAAUCAGCGUCUCCUUAUAUGACAGAUCCAUCACUCCGGGAACCAUGCUGAGUAAUCCUCAUUGUAUUUUCUAUAGCAAGUACAACGUUUUUAAGAAAGGAUGCAGGGAAUUACCUACACGCAGAUGGCACUGAGCCACCAUCAAAAACAGAUGCACAGUACUUUUGAGAUGAGCAACACACACAAAAUUCUGGAGGAGCUCUGCAGAUCAGGCAACAUCCAUGGAGGGGAAUAAGCAGUUAACAUCUUAGGAUGAUACCGUUCAUCAAGUCAAGUGAGUUGACACAUCCAGGAUUUAGGUUUAAUAACUAUGAAGGAUCAAUGAUACAUUUCAAAGUCAGAAUGAUGUUUAGAUUUUGAGUGGAAACUACUGGAUUUCUUUGUUUGUCCUUCAUGAUGAUAAAUGCCAGGAUAGCUUAGAAAAGUAACUGCAGUGCAUUUUGUAAAUAGUACAAUACUGUAGGCAAGGUGUUUUUAACAAUGGUAGAUGGGCAUCAAUUAAAUGAGUUUCUUGAAUAUUGUUAGAACCAUGACCAUCAGUAAAGAAUAUUCUAUCACAUUCUUGGCUUGUUCCUUAAAUGGCGAUGAAGACCUGAGAUGUCACCAAUGUUUCCUCUAAGGUGUGUGCACGGACUCAUCUUUUGUUACUAGUGCACAAAGGAAUUUAAACUGGACACAAAAGGUUGUCACCUUUUAUCUCAUUGGCAUGUUAAGUGUAGUUCAUGAUCGUACACAAUCACAUUUCCUUUUCUAGUUUCUAAUGGGAAUGGUGUUGACAACGUGGAGUUUGCGAUGAUUUGUCUGCAGGUUUUAGAACUGGUUUAUCUAUUUUCUUUUUAUUGAAGAAAUGUCAAAUUCCAAAGAAGCAAAGGGAGUGGAGCACAAAAAAUGCUAGUUCAUUUAAAGUGGAAUGGCUUAAUGAAACAGUAGAAACUGCUACAUCAAAAGCUCCAUGAGGUCAGAAACACACAGCUACGAGAAAUGUUUAUGUACAAUACAGAAACCGGGGUGUGUAUUGUCACAAUGCAAAAGUUGCUGGAGAAUUUGCAAGUGGGAAGAAAUGGAGUGAUAUUUGGAAACAACUUUUGAAAGCAUCAUUUUGCAAACAAGUCACAUAUGGACGGCAUGCCAAAGCUCCAGCGAGAAAAUCAUUCAUUACUCGCUGCAGGCCUGCUACAUGCAUUUUGUGAGAGUGCAGAUGAAUGAGAGCAAAGAUGAUCAAACCCAGAGGAGAUCAAAGUUCUUUUUAGCUUUUAAAAUGAAGACAUAUAUAUAUAUAUAUAAUUCAGUGCACACAUGUUGAAACUGGGCAAAAAAAUUGCACAGCACAGGAUUUUUGCCCACACUGGUCAUUACAAAUUAGAGGGAACUUUGGCUAUCACUCACCACAGUUGAGCCAGCACCUAACCUUGUCUAGAAGCUGUUUUAUCUAUAAGGCCAUUCUGCUUUGGUUUCAUGUCUGACCUCUGGGAUGCUGUUGGCAGAAUGUUCAUCAAUGAACACCCUCUCUUCUGAUCUUAUGAUAGAAGAAAAGUCAAACAAUGAACCACAUUACUUUUUCCCUCCAUUCAAAUUUGGACUAACAUUAUAAAGAUACAUUCAAUCUCCUCAAGUGUAUUGAAUGGGAUUUAUUAAGUCAGCCAUCUCAAAGAAGCUACCAUAAUGAGAUAUAGGGAAAAGAUUUUCACUCUCAAAAGGAAUGAAAGCAAGGCAAACAACAUCAAUCAUCUAAUAUGGAUCACCCGCAUGGCUCUUUGCAUUCAUUUUAUUUAUAAAAUAUCCCUCCUGUUGAUCAAAAGGGCAAUUCUAAUGGACCAAUCAAUGGUUACCUGUGAUUAACACAAAAGCAAGCUACUAUAAACAUUGAAAAUCUGAGAUAAUGAAAACAUGUAAAUGGUGGAAAUGCAUGGCAAGACUGGCAGCUUAUGUACAGAGUGGAAAAACAGAAAAAGUGAAUGAAAUGAUCCUUCAUUGAAACUUGCAAAAGUUUGAGCAAAAUAUCUUUAAAGUUGCAGGGAAAAGAGGAGAAAACAAGUGACUGGAUAUAGCCGACUGGCAAUUCCAUUUCACCAUUCACUGUGCAACACAGAGGUUAGAUCAUGUCCAGGCUUCUACAGUACUAUUCCGGAAUGCACACAUAGCCUUCCACAGAUGAUCAGCAGGGAGAAAUGAGUCUUCAUCUGUGAAUGCAGAUUAAAACUGAAUGAAAAUUCCCAGUAACAGGGUGUGUAUAAAGCCAGCACUCUCUCUGACGUCUUGGUAAAGACUAAUUAAGUGUUUCUGAGAGCAUCAGGUGAGAUUCUCACCAUUAAGGGUGAGCUUGUCAAUGCUGAGAGACUGAAUCUCAGUUGUGCUUCAAAGGAACAACCUCGCUAGCAUUCAUGGUGUGGAGGAGCAGACUCACUGAGAGCUGAUUAUUCUAGGCAAGGCAAUGAGGCAUCAGUGGGCUUCAACAUGCUGACUUCUUGCCCUAGUGGUGCACAACUACGGAGAGGAAGAUUCUCUUUCUACGUUGUCAGUGACUGCAAAUUACUUCCUAUUGAUUUUAAGACCUCACUUUGCCCUUUCUUUAUAUUGUGUUGUGAAAUAAACUUUCCGAUUCAGAAAAUAUAGUUUCAAAUUUAUAUUUACGAAUAAGGCUCAGAAACCAGUACAAACAAUCUCAGCAAUUACAGUGCACAAUUGAAUUGGUGCUGAGAAAACUUUUGUUAGGACCUUAAUGCAAAAUGUCAUUACUCCAAAACAAUAGAAUGUUCAAGUUUAUUGUCAUCUGACUGUACAUACAUACAACAAAACAAAACAACAUUCCUCUGGACUGUGGUGCACUCAAACAAUAUAUAUUACACAUAAACAAAAAUAUUAUACUUCAUAAUCAUUGAAGUCAGUGCCACUGGGCAGCAAUCAUUUAGGCCAGUUAUCUGCUGCUCUCUUGGGCACCAGAAUGAUGGUGGCUGCCUUGAAGCCUGCAUGAGAAAUGGGCUGUUUCAGAAAGAAAUUAAGGAUGUCUACUAAGACCUCUGUUAGCUGGGCCACACCAUCUCGCAGCGCCUGACUAGGUAUGUUGUUCAGCCCCACAGCUUUGCAGGUGUUUACCCUGGCUAGGGUCUUCUUCACCUCAGUUGUGGACAGACAGGGAUUCUGUUCUUCAGGAAGAGAAGGGGCUUUCCUCAAUAUCACAUCAUUCAAUUGGUCAAAUUGUGCAUAAAAAGCAUUCAGCCUAUCAGGAACAGAGCUGUCACUGUCAACACGCAGGAUGGACAUAUUCAGUUAUAGUUUGUAUAUCUUGCCACAUGAGCCACUUGGUGUCCUUGAUGUCACAGAAGUGUCUGUGUAUUUUCUGUGCAUACUCAUACUUUGCCAUCCUGAUGGCACAGGAGAGUGCAGACAUUAGGUUCAUUCUGCCCCCUGUUCUGAAGUUAAUGUCUUUUAACCCUGCUAUCAUAUGAUGAAUACUCAUCUGCGAAAAACAAGAAAUUGAGCCAAAAUGAAUUCACAGAACACAUGGACUCUGCAGAUGCUGGAAAUCCAAGCAACACACACAAAAUGCUGGAGGAACAGCAGAUCAGGCAGCAUCUAUGGAGGGGCAUAAACAGUCCUUCUUUUUGGCCAAGGCCCAUCAUCAGGAUUAGAAAGGAAGGAGAAGAAGCCAGAACAAGUAGGUGAGGGGAGGAGAAAGAGUGCAAUUCAGAAAGUGAUAGGUGAAGUCAAGUUGGCGAGGGGGAUGAAGUAAGAAGCUAAGAGGUGAUAGGUGAACAAGUUAAAGGGCUGGAGAAGAAAGAAUCUGAAAGGAUAGGAGAGUGGACCAUGAGAGAAAGGAAAGAACAAGGGGCAUGAGGGGGAGGUAGUAGGAGGUGAGGAGAAGAAGAGGAAUAAGGGAGGACAAAGUGGAGAAUUGAAGAGGAGUGGAAAGGGGAGGGAGAAAAUGAUCAGAAGUUAGAAAAAUUGACAUUCACACCUUCAGGUCAGAGAUACCCAGAAAGAAUAUGAGAUGUUGUUCCUCCAACCUGGGAGUGGCCUCAUCAUGGCAGUAGAGAAGGCUGUGGACCGACAUACCGGAAUGGGAAUGGACAUUGGAAUUAAAAUGGUUGGCUACUGAGAAAUCCUACUUUUCGCAAAUGGAGCAAAGAUUUUCAAGAAAGCUGUUCCCCAAUCUACUGUACGCCGGGUCUCAAUAAUGUAGAAGAGGCUGCGUGGGAGCGCUGGAUACUGUAGACAAACCCAAAAGAUUAGCAGAUGAAAUGUUGCUUCACCUGGAAGGACUGUUUGGGGCCCCGAGUGGAGUCUAAUCCCCUCCAUAAAUGCUGCCUGGCCUGCUAAGAUCCUCCAACAUAUUGUGUGUGCUAAUUCACGGAAGCUAUUCCAGAGGAACAAAACUGACAAACACAAGUUUUUCUUACAGUUAAAAUGCUUUGAAGUAGAUGAAACAUAUCACACAUGCAGCAAGCUUAACCUGUAAUAUUAAAUGCAAAAAAAUCUAAAGCUGCCUAUUUAAAUAUCUUGAGAUUGCAUUACUGUAACAUUGAAAAAAAUGCAUUCAAUGCAUUUCAGUUUUCAAUGCAUUCUAUACAGAGAUGUAACUUUCUAUAUUAAUUGUAAGCACAACUAAAUUAACAUUGAACUCCUGAACUCUUUACUGUUAGCAAAAUCUGUCAAUAAUUAUAAUGUUUAAACUAAGAAGCAAAGAGAGAAGGUGACCCAAGUAUAAUUACUAAAAGCCCUUCACUUCCCAUGGUAAUCCUGCCAGAAUGGAGACAUAAGUAACCACAGCUAACAUAAAUAAACAGUGCAUUGGACUUUGGAGAUUUGUUUUGAUAAUUCCAGUGAUAAGUCUUACCACCCCAGAUUCAAGGAUGUUUUUGGAGCCUUUGUUAGUCAAUAACAGGGGGUAGAUUUUUUUUCCCCAUCAUGUAAAUGGAAUGGAGCAGCUGUGUUUCGAUGAUUAGCAUUGAGAUUCACUUGGCAGGAAACCAAUUGCAUUCUCACAGUAAAAAUGAUACGCCUUCCUCACUUAAUAUACAGUGCAAAAUCUGGUAUUCAUUGGCAUCCAGCAUGGAUUCAUGGAUAAGCGAAACAUUUUCUGAUCUCAAGAGUGUUCAGAAUUAAGGAUAAAGUGCUGGCAAAGGUUUCAGAGACACUUAAUAUCUAAAGUUAUAUAGUAAUAUAAAGGAUGUUGUUGUACUCAGUUAAGCAACAACUGUAACAAAAAAGUCUAAACGCAAAAUGUUUUUUUAAAAUUUACAGUCAGAAAUGAACCUCCUUUAAAGAAUACUACAAAGCUGGAUGUCCACAUUUACAUUUGUGCCAUUGAUAUUUAGAAUCUAAACUAAGUCAAUUUGCAUGAAACUGGGUUCUUUUGGGUUUCUUGCUUUGCAGCUGUCUGUAAGCAGACAAAUCUCAAGAUUUUAUAAUUCAUAUCUUUUUUGAUUUGGUUGUAACUACAUUGUGGGGUGAUUCAUGUUCUUAUUCAUGUGUUUUAAGUUAAAAGUGGGUAAGUAAAAAUGAGAAUGUCCUGGUGUCUAGUAAAUGGGGCUCGCUCUCACUGGGAGAGAGAGAUUGGGCUGCCAGAAGUUCACAUUAUGGAGCUGUAAUUAUGUUUUCCGGUAGAUAUCUUUUUCUAAGUAUUGGCAGUUAUCUUUUCACUAUUUCUGCUAAUUUUUGUAAGUUUGCUUUUUGGUGUACCUAAUAAACACAUGCACUAAGGUG